GCUUUUUUCAAUUUAUUUUAUUUAGCUUUGCCUAGGUUCUUGCCACACAGAGAGAGAGAGAGAGAGAGUUAGUUUAGAUUUUUUUUUGUUAUCUUUUGUGGGUUUCUUUUUCCUUAUUUUUGUAGGUACUGAGAAGGAAGAGUUGGCAGCUUGACUUUGUGGAAGAGCGUAAAAUUCAGGCUAGGCCUUGAAGUUGGAGUGUAUUAGAUUGGAAUCUUAGAAGUAUCUGUUUGGACUGAAGAAAUGGAGGUAUAUGGUAAAUCUAUGGUUGCAGCUCCUUCAAAUGUUAUUUAUCUGUCAAGUAUUUUGGGCCAAGAUGGUCCAGUUUCUGUUCACAAAUGCGACUGGAAAUGUGAAAAUGAAAAUGUGUGUGGAAACAUGUAUCGCUGCAAGCUAACUGGGCUGACUCACAUCUGUGAUAAAAACUGUAACCAGAGAAUUCUGUAUGAUAACCAUAGCUCACUGUGCUUAGCAAGUGGUCAAAUUUUUCCCCUUACACCAGCAGAGGAACAGGCUGUGAGAGGUGUUCGCAGAAAGCUUGAUGCAGAGAAUUCAUCCUCAGAUAGCUGUGGUUUUAAGCGUAGACGAGAUGCUCAAUUCCACCCUUCCCCUUUCGAGAGAUCUUUCUGUGCUGUCAGCCCUAUCUGCAGCCAAGUUGGAGAUGGCAUGGAUGUGAACUAGACAUCUAUUUUAUGACUAUUAUUUCUCUUGUCUUGUCCCUUUGAAGUUCUUUACUUUUUCUACCAGAUGAGUAUUGAUAAUAGAACUCAGAACAAUUAUGGAUUAUUUAUUGGUGGACAUGAUGUGUCCCCAUCUGCUGUAGGAAGAAAUCCUUAUAUUUUUCUAGUAUUAAUGUAAUGUAGCAUUUAAAGUAGCUUGACUGUUGAAUGGGGAUUUGAGCAGGGUUAUGUACACAGUGCGGUUACGACACUGGAAUGACUUCAAUUUCCUGCUAAACCUACUGAGAAGCUGUCUGUUAUGGCUGACUACAGAAUGUAUUCUGUCCUUUACAUUGCUUAAAUUUGAUUUGGACCUCAGUGAUAUACAUAUGAGCAAUGUAAUUAACCAUAACCCUUUUUUAGCCGACUAUCAAGUUUCCAGUGUAUCUGUAAUCAGAAUUCACAAAGCAGGCCUCUUAUAGUAUUAGUGUUUUCAUUAUUGUUACUACUACUGUCAUGAGUUUGUAUUAGGUUCAUAUUGAUGAUAACCUUGACUUCUGUGGGCUGAGGUUCUCUCCUGUUCGUCAUAUGAACAAAGUUGUUGGUAUGUUAUUUGGUGAAAACUAAUUUUGGUUUUGCAGCUUGACUCUUCCUUUUUCUUUUACAGGCUCGAUGGAGAUGAUCUAGUUCACAUUUUCAUCCAUCAUAAUCAUUUUCUGUUAUCUUUUCUUUCUGUGAUUUGAUUGACAGUUGGUUGUCUGAGCUUAAUGUAACUUGUGCAGGUUUUGAAGCAUAUGCUAAGAAGGAGCAUUCAAAACAUUUCUCUUGCAAUAUUGAAUUCUUUGAUAUAGAAUUGUUCUCUGUUAUAACAUCAAUUAUUGAUGAAUUUCUUAAUUUCUUGAUGGAUGCAGGCAUUGCAAUUUUUGCUUGAGUCUUUCUUUGGUAAAGUUUGGUGGAGAAGCCUACAGUAAUGGAGCGAUGAAGAGUUUAAAGACUGAGUGGGUAAUCCUAAUAUUAGAAAAUGUCAAAAGAAUAGUGGCAAGAACAUUUAUGAUAGUGUACAGAGAUGUGAUAGAGACACGGUAUAGAAAGAUGGUAAGGUGACAAGGAGCAAAUAAACGUUGACCUUACUAAGGAUACUCAACAUCGUCAUUAAUCAUCACCAUCAAUCUAUCAAACUCGCAUAUUUUUCCUCUUUGUUUUCGAGGAUUGAAAGUAAUAAUCUGUGUUUGAAAGUGAAUCCUCUUCCAUUUUGCCUAGUUAAUGGUUUAUGCUAAAUUUUAUAUUUCUUUUGAUAUAUUCUAACUUCUAAGUAGAUGCAAUUAAUUUCUUUUCUUUUCCUGGUAUAUAAGCAGAUGUAAGAUUUUAUAUUUGAUAUUUGUGAAGAUAGAGGUUUUUAAUU